AUGGCUCAGGAUGAACGCUAGCGACAGGCUUAACACAUGCAAGUCGAGGGGUAACAGGGUAGCAAUACCGCUGACGACCGGCGCACGGGUGAGUAACGCGUAUGCAACCUGCCUAUAACUGGGGAAUAGCUCCCUGAAAGGGGAAUUAACACCGCAUAACACUAUUGAUUCGCAUGGAUUGGUAGUUAAAUGUAGCGAUACAGGUUAUAGAUGGGCAUGCGUGACAUUAGCUAGUUGGUGAGGUAACGGCUCACCAAGGCUACGAUGUCUAGGGGUUCUGAGAGGAAGGUCCCCCACACUGGUACUGAGACACGGACCAGACUCCUACGGGAGGCAGCAGUGAGGAAUAUUGGUCAAUGGGCGCAAGCCUGAACCAGCCAUGUCGCCGUGCAGGAAGACUGCCCUAUGGGUUGUAAACUGCUUUUAAUAGGGAUUAAAGUCGACUACGUGUAGUUGUUUGCAAGUACCUAUAGAAUAAGCAUCGGCUAACUCCGUGCCAGCCGCCGC
rnacentral:rRNA from 1 species